GGCUAUGCCUCAAUUGAUAAAGUGAACUAAUUGCCUACUUCAAAAGCAGUUUUGCAUGAAAGUCAACAUCUAAUUGGAAUUUACAAUGCCCGAUAUUUCUACACAUCUGCCACAAAUUUUAUGGAAAACAAUAUUUAUAGAAACUGAACAUACCUUGGUUAAACGUAUAUGAAAUGGGUAACCAUCCUUGAAGAACAUCAACCAGCUGUCGGCAAUGUGCAGGUGGACUGAGGAAUUUUCCGGUGUGUCCUUUAUGGACUGUACUCCGUCUUAGCACUAUCCUCAAGUUUUACCCGAAAGGCCAUGCUUCAGGUUGGACCGUCUUCCAUAUAUCUACUGACUUCAUAUAAAUGAAAGUGUACUGAGGACUCACUAAUCUGCACUACCAGUAACAAAGUAAUCCGACAAUCAGACUGGACCCGGUCAUGUUAGGUACCAAAGGAAAACGAAAAUAUCAUUGGUUCUAUACUGAUGCAUGACUUCGCUCGGAACGCGGCAAGAAUUAACAAUGGAAGAAAAUACUACAGACGUGUUUAUUAACGAUAAAGUUAUUUUUGUUUUUAUGAAAUAGCGAUUGAAUAAAAAUAUUAGGUAUAUGAGUUUUAUUUAGAGAUGAAAUAAGUCAAGAAAUACAGCACACCCACUCGUUUUCACAACAACAAAUGUAGCCUGGUAAGGCUAAUAAAAUAAGGUUAUUAAAAUUCUGGUUACUUGGCACCAAAAGUAACCUUGCAACGGCUACUUCCUAUUAUUUAUUU
rnacentral:lncRNA from 1 species